GGGAGGCGGGGCUCACGGCAGCACCCGCGGCUCGUUAACUGCAGAACAAUGUGAGUCUCCAAACACCAGAAAAGUCGCUAAUAACACCAUUAUAAAUCGCUAGAUUAGUCGUUAGUCGCAGUUUUGACACAAAUAAGUCGCCGGAGGGUUUGGAAAUCUGCCAAAUUUAACGAGAAAAUCGCCAAGUUGGCAACACUGCCAAGGACACCGUGCAAUAUGUGUACAUCUGCUCGGCACACUUCAUUACUGGGCAGCCUUCCAAGGAGCUUGGCCAUCCAGAUUACAUCCCGACCAAUUUUGCUACGCCUGGGAAACUACCAACAGCUGACAAGUGCCAGAAACUGAGAAGGUUCUCGAAUGCUAUGUGUCGUCAUGGCAAGAAGAUGCUUGGCAAAGCAAAUGGGCCCUCAAAAAAGAAGUGCAGAGUGGCUUACGCAGUCCCUGUUGGAGUGCAGGACACAUCCCUUGCAUCCUCCGAACCUCCACAGCAUCAACCUACUCCUGUUUCGCCUCAACCGUCGACCAGUUCAGUGUCUCCACCUUCCGUGCCUCAACAGAUGCUCUUUGAUGAGAUCUCUGCACUCAGGGCGGAAAGAGAUGCUGCUUUUGCUGAGAGGGACCAUGCUAGGGCCACCCUCAACUCUAUCCGGCUGUCUUCUAACACUGUUGCUGAAAACAAUGAGAAGUGUCAGUAUUACACCGGACUAACUUGGCCCAUUUUUCUAGCCACUUUUCAAUUCUUGCUAGUUUCAAUGAUAUGCAAAGGUACCCCAUCCAUCCCCUACAUUGAUCAGUUUUUUUUAUAUGAUAGUGAAGUUGAAACAUGGCAUGAAGUUUGAGUAUUUGGCAGACCAGGUAGGCAUCCCUCAGAGCACGCUCAUAGAUCAUUUUUGGAAGUGGAUGGAUGUAGCCUUUGUGAAACUGAAGCGUGUUGUUAGUUGGCCAGAGAGGGAGCGCAUAUUUUCUAAUAUGCCACCUGCAUUCAAGGCUCUGUACCCUAGACUGACUUGUAUCAUAGAUUGUUUUGAAGUGUUCAUUGAAUCUCCAGGGAACCUUAAAGCUCGUGCCCAAGUCUGGUCAAAUUAUAAGCGUCACACCACUAUGAAGUUUCUUAUUGGAUGUAACCCACUUGGUGCCAUUUGUUUUCUGUCUGAUGCCUGGGGUGGGAGGGUGAGCGAUGUGGAAAUAGUAUAUCAAAGCGGAUUCUUGACUAAAUGUGACCAUCACCCGGGUGACCAAGUUCUAGCGGAUAGGGGGUUUACAAUGA